AAGAGAUUGCAAGUUAUGAAAAUGGUGGAGGGAACUGAUUCUGAAGAAGGAGCUCAAGUUAUAUAGAGGUUGAUCCUCAAGGGCUUUUUGUGGGAUUUGGCAUGUGUUUGAAUGUGUGGCAGUUUGGAAAACAAUUGGUGAGGUUAUUUGCUGCUGAAUGAAUGAAUAUAUUAAUGACAGUUAGAAGUGAAACUACUGGAUUGAAUAAAAACUGUUGCUGUUAGUGAAAUCAGGGGUCAUUUUGGAUUUUGAAUUGAAUGAAGGUGCAAGUUUAAAAGUUGAGGAUGCAAGAUGGUUAGAAGUGAUGGAGAAGAAGAGGAGGCCGAAAUAUGAGCUGGAAAAUCGGAACAGGGAACAAGCCUUCAAGAUUCCAUUGGACUUUGGCCAAAGCAAUAUUAUUAUUUGUAAUUCCUUUUGUCUGUAACGGAUUUGAUGAUGUAUAAAUCUUGGAUGAUGAAUUUAAAAUGUAAUGAUCUUUUUUUUUUGUAAUGGAACUGGGUUUUGUAAU